rnacentral:rRNA from 1 species
AUGUACGUGGUGAAGCGCGACGGGCGGCAGGAGGCCGUCCACUUCGACAAGAUCACGGCGCGGCUCAAGAAGCUCGCCUACGGCCUCAGCCAGGACCACUGCGACCCCGUCCUCGUCGCGCAGAAGGUCUGCGCCGGCGUCUACAGGGGCGUCACCACCUCCCAGCUCGACGAGCUCGCCGCCGAGACCGCCGCCGCCAUGACCGCAUCCCACCCCGACUACGCAUCGCUCGCGGCCAGGAUCGCCGUCUCCAACCUGCACAAGAACACCAUGAAGUCCUUCUCAGAGACGGUGAAGGUCAUGUACACGCAUUUCAACGAGAGGUCUGGGCUGAUGGCUCCCCUGAUCGCUGAUGAUGUCUAUGAGAUCAUGAUGAAGAAUGCUACACGCCUGGACAGUGAGAUAAUUUAUGAUAGAGACUUCGACUACGAUUUCUUUGGUUUUAAGACGCUUGAGAGGUCUUAUUUACUGAAAGUUGGUGGGAAGGUUGUGGAAAGACCACAACAUAUGUUAAUGAGGGUUUCUGUUGGGAUACACAAGGAUGAUAUUGAGUCUGCUGUCAAAACAUACCACAUGAUGUCUCAGCGCUGGUUUACUCAUGCUUCCCCAACCCUUUUCAAUGCUGGCACUCCAAGGCCUCAAUUAAGCAGCUGCUUUCUUGUCUGCAUGAAAGACGAUAGCAUUGAGGGAAUUUAUGAUACUCUCUCGGAAUGCGCUUCCAUAAGCAAAUCUGCUGGAGGGAUUGGUGUCUCAAUUCACAACGUUCGGGCUACUGGCAGUUACAUUCGUGGAACUAAUGGAACUUCUAAUGGAAUUGUACCCAUGCUACGUGUUUUCAAUGACACUGCACGCUAUGUUGAUCAAGGCGGAGGCAAGAGAAAAGGUGCAUUUGCUAUAUACUUGGAGCCUUGGCAUGCUGAUAUUUAUGAGUUCCUUGAUUUGAGAAAGAACCAUGGAAAGGAGGAGAAUCGUGCCAGGGAUCUUUUUUAUGCUCUCUGGAUUCCUGAUUUAUUCAUGGAAAGGGUGCAAAAAAAUGAGCAAUGGUCAUUAUUUUGUCCCAGUGAAGCUCCAGGUUUGGCUGAUUGCUGGGGAGAUGAGUUUCAGAAUCUGUACAACAAAUAUGAAAGAGAAGGCAAAGCGAAGAAAAUUGUUUCAGCACAGUCCCUCUGGUUUGAAAUUUUGAAAGCACAGAUAGAAACUGGAACACCAUAUAUGCUUUAUAAGGACAGUUGCAACAGAAAAAGUAAUCAACAAAAUCUGGGCACAAUUAAGUCUUCCAACUUGUGCACAGAGAUAGUUGAGUUCACAAGUCCCGAUGAAACUGCUGUGUGCAAUCUGGCAUCAAUUGCUUUGCCACGUUUUGUAAGAGAAAAGGGUGUUCCGUUAGAGUCCCAUCCAGCUAAGCUUGUUGGCAGCAUUGGGUCAAAAAAUAGAUACUUCGACUUUGAUAAAUUAGCUGAGAUUACUUCAAUUGUUACAUGGAAUCUCAACAAAAUAAUUGAUAUCAACUACUACCCCAUUGAGACAGCAAGGAGGUCAAAUAUGAGGCACAGGCCAAUUGGAAUAGGUGUUCAAGGCUUAGCAGACACUUUUAUUUUACUUGGCAUGCCAUUCGAUUCACCAGAGGCCCAGCAGUUAAACAAGGAUAUCUUUGAGACUAUCUAUUAUCAUGCAUUGAAAGCUUCUGCUGAAAUUGCCGCAAAAGAAGGCCCUUAUGAAACUUAUGAUGGGUGCCCAGUCAGCAAGGGCAUUCUUCAACCUGAUAUGUGGAAUGUAGUGCCAUCAGACAGAUGGGACUGGCCAGCUAUACGGGGGAUGAUUUCCAAAGUUGGGUUAAGGAACUCUCUUCUUGUGGCUCCAAUGCCCACUGCUUCUACUAGUCAAAUUCUUGGCAACAAUGAGUGCUUUGAACCAUACACGUCAAACAUUUACAGUCGAAGAGUUCUAAGUGGUGAGUUUGUUGUAGUGAACAAGCAUCUCCUCCAUGAUCUGACUGAGAUGGGUAUCUGGUCUCCUGUGCUGAAAAACAAUAUUAUCUACGACGAUGGCUCUGUCCAAAAGAUUACUGAGAUCCCAGAUGAUCUGAAAGCAAUUUACAAGACUGUUUGGGAGAUCAAGCAGAAAACUGUUGUUGACAUGGCCGUCGAUCGUGGCUGCUACAUCGAUCAAAGUCAGAGCCUCAAUAUCCACAUGGAUCAAGCAAACUCUGGGAAGCUAACUUCCCUGCACUUCCACGCUUGGUCCAAGGGCCUGAAAACAGGGAUGUACUAUCUGAGGACACGUGCUGCUGCGGAUGCGAUCAAAUUCACAGUGGACACUAGUCUUCUCAAGGAUAAGAAGCCUGCGAAUGCCGAGGAGGAAGAGGAUCUCCAGGCCAAGAUGGCGCAGGUGACCUGCUCCCUGAACAACCGUGAGGACUGCUUGUCAUGUGGAAGCUAG